rnacentral:rRNA from 1 species
GACGAACCGUACGAACGUUAUUCGGAAUCACUGGGCUUAAAGCGUGCGUAGGCGGCUUGGCAAGUUGGGUGUGAAAGCCCUCGGCUCAACCGAGGAAUUGCGCUCAAAACUGCCAGGCUUGAGGGAGACAGAGGUGAGCGGAACUCGUGGUGGAGCGGUGAAAUGCGUUGAUAUCAUGAGGAACACCGGUGGCGAAAGCGGCUCACUGGGUCUUUUCUGACGCUGAGGCACGAAAGCUAGGGUAGCGAACGGG